rnacentral:rRNA from 1 species
GCGAGUGAAGCGGGAAGAGCUCAUUCUGUGAAUCUGUAUGCUCUUUUGGUAUACCGAGUUGUAGAAUAUAGAAGCACAUCAGUGCGAAUUCCGGUCUAAGUCUCUUGGAAAAGAGCAGCUAAGAGGGUGAGACUCCCGUUCUUGGCUGGAAUUCAAACUUUAGCAUGUGGUUUCGACGAGUCGAGUUGCUUGGGAUUGCAGCUCAAAGUUGGUGGUAAAUUCCAUCUAAAGCUAAAUAUCGGUGGGAGACCGAUAGCGUACAAGUACCGUGAGGGAAAGAUGCAAAGAACUUUGAAAAAAGAGUUAAAGAGUACCUGAAAUUGCUGAAAUGGAAGCGAAGGAAACCAGUGCCGUUCUGUAUCAUUCUUCCGUCCUUGCUUGCGAGGGUGGCGCUGUGAUGCAGGAUAGGCCAGCGUGGGUUUGAGCCGAAGGAAGCAGCUCUUCAGGAGGCAGCGCAAUUUCUGUGCGAUUACUGUUGAGCUUUGCUUCGGCUUGGACUGAGGCUAGUCACUUGUGCUCGUGACGCUGGCGAAAUGGUUUUCUUUACCCCGUCUUGAAACACGGACCAAGGAGUCUAACAUAUGUGCGAGUAUAUGAGUGACAAACUCACAUGCGAAAUGAAAGUAACAGUGGUUGGACCUUCUGGGCACAAUCCGCCGGCCACAAUCCUUCGGGAGAAAGGUCUGAGUGUGAGCAUACAUGUUGGGACCCGAAAGAUGGUGAACUAUGCCUGAAUAGGGUGAAGC